rnacentral:rRNA from 1 species
UACGUAGGGACCGAGCGUUGUCCGGAAUCAUUGGGCGUAAAGAGCGUGUAGGCGGCCACUUAAGUCCUGCGUGAAAUCUUGCGGCUCAACCGCAAGCGGUCGUGGGAAACUGGGUGGCUAGAGUGCGGGAGAGGAGAGUGGAAUUCCUGGUGUAGCGGUGAAAUGCGCAGAUAUCAGGAGGAACACCAAUGGCGAAGGCAGCUCGCUGGAACGGUACUGACGCUGAGGCGCGAAAGCGUGGGGAGCGAACAGG